rfam:Felis catus isolate Cinnamon breed Abyssinian chromosome C2, whole genome shotgun sequence.
GCCUGGGUGGCUCAGUCGGUUAGGCGUCCAACUUAAGCUCAGGUCAUUAUCUCAUCGUUUGUGGGUUCAAGCCCCACUUCAGGCU